UAUUAAAAAUUUCAUCCAUUUUUAUCGUUAAAGACUGCCGUGACUGAUAGAAUAAUCAAAUAGUUACACGUGUAACUCAUUUUGACCUACAAGGACCAAUUUGUAACAAUAGAUGAAAUUUUUAAUA
rfam:Gossypium hirsutum cultivar TM-1 chromosome 2, whole genome shotgun sequence